AUUGAACGCUGGCGGCAGGCCUAACACAUGCAAGUCGGGCGGUAACAGGGAGAAGCUUGCUUCUCUGCUGACGAGCGGCGGACGGGUGAGUAAUGUAUGGGGAUCUGCCUGAUGGAGGGGGAUAACUACUGGAAACGGUAGCUAAUACCGCAUAAUGUCUGCGGACCAAAGCGGGGGACCUUCGGGCCUCGCGCCAUCAGAUGAACCCAUAUGGGAUUAGCUUGUAGGUGAGGUAACGGCUCACCUAGGCGACGAUCCCUAGCUGGUCUGAGAGGAUGAUCAGCCACACUGGGACUGAGACACGGCCCAGACUCCUACGGGAGGCAGCAGUGGGGAAUAUUGCACAAUGGGCGCAAGCCUGAUGCAGCCAUGCCGCGUGUAUGAAGAAGGCCUUCGGGUUGUAAAGUACUUUCAGUCGGGAGGAAGGUGGUGAGCUUAAUACGCUCAUCAAUUGACGUUACCGACAGAAGAAGCACCGGCUAACUCCGUGC
rnacentral:rRNA from 1 species